rnacentral:rRNA from 1 species
GACGAACGCUGGCGGCGUGCUUAACACAUGCAAGUCGAACGGAAAGGCCCUGCUUUUGUGGGGUGCUCGAGUGGCGAACGGGUGAGUAACACGUGAGUAACCUGCCCUUGACUUUGGGAUAACUUCAGGAAACUGGGGCUAAUACCGGAUAGGAGCUCCUGCUGCAUGGUGGGGUUGGAAAGUUUCGGCGGUUGGGGAUGGACUCGCGGCUUAUCAGCUUGUUGGUGGGGUAGUGGCUUACCAAGGCUUUGACGGGUAGCCGGCCUGAGAGGGUGACCGGCCACAUUGGGACUGAGAUACGGCCCAGACUCCUACGGGAGGCAGCAGUGGGGAAUAUUGCACAAUGGGCGGAAGCCUGAUGCAACAACGCCGCGUGCGGGAUGACGGCCUUCGGGUUGUAAACCGCUUUCGCCUGUGACGAAGCGUGAGUGACGGUAAUGGGUAAAGAAGCACCGGCUAACUACGUGCCAGCAGCCGCGGUGAUACGUAGGGUGCGAGCGUUGUCCGGAUUUAUUGGGCGUAAAGGGCUCGUAGGUGGUUGAUCGCGUCGGAAGUGUAAUCUUGGGGCUUAACCCUGAGCGUGCUUUCGAUACGGGUUGACUUGAGGAAGGUAGGGGAGAAUGGAAUUCCUGGUGGAGCGGUGGAAUGCGCAGAUAUCAGGAGGAACACCAGUGGCGAAGGCGGUUCUCUGGGACUUUCCUGACGCUGAGGAGCGAAAGCGUGGGGAGCGAACAGGCUUAGAUACCCUGGUAGUCCACGCUGUAAACGGUGGGUACUAGGUGUGGGGUCCAUUCCACGGGUUCCGUGCCGUAGCUAACGCUUUAAGUACCCCGCCUGGGGAGUACGGCCGCAAGGCUAAAACUCAAAGGAAUUGACGGGACCCCGCACAAGCGGCGGAGCAUGCGGAUUAAUUCGAUGCAACGCGUAGAACCUUACCUGGGUUUGACAUGGAUCGGGAGUGCUCAGAGAUGGGUGUGCCUCUUUUGGGGUCGGUUCACAGGUGGUGCAUGGCUGUCGUCAGCUCGUGUCGUGAGAUGUUGGGUUAAGUCCCGCAACGAGCGCAACCCUUGUUCACUGUUGCCAGCACGUUAUGGUGGGGACUCAGUGGAGACCGCCGGGGUCAACUCGGAGGAAGGUGGGGAUGACGUCAAGUCAUCAUGCCCCUUAUGUCCAGGGCUUCACGCAUGCUACAAUGGCUGGUACAGAGAGUGGCGAGCCUGUGAGGGUGAGCGAAUCUCGGAAAGCCGGUCUCAGUUCGGAUUGGGGUCUGCAACUCGACCUCAUGAAGUCGGAGUCGCUAGUAAUCGCAGAUCAGCAACGCUGCGGUGAAUACGUUCCCGGG